AUGGCUGUGACCACAUACAACACAUCCCUUCCUUAUGCUGAAAGAUAUAGAAAUGGAAAAGUACAGGUUGCCUUGGUUUGGAAUAUUAGAAAAGAGAACUCCCCUUCCUCGAAAAAGUUAAAUGCUUUGGCCAAUUUCUUAUGGAGAUAUGGUGGGCCAAACAGGAAAGUCCAUUUAAUUCAUUCUGUUUGGGCAAACUUCCAGACUUCAAUUAACAAUGUUAAGCGAGAUUCAAUGGGCUGCUUUCAUUCUAUUAUGUGCAGGGUGCACCACAGCACAACUUAAUUCUUCUUCUGAUAGAGUCCUUCAAACUCCUUAUCAAGGUUAUGGCACUUCUAAGUGGUUUUGCAGGAGUUUACACAGAGGCAGCAAAGAGAAGCCAAACACCUCUUCCUUCUUAGGUAAACAGGGG